rnacentral:snRNA from 1 species
AUAUCGAUCACGAAAGUGGAAAA